GAUAAACGCUGGCGGCGUGCAUAACACAUGCAAGUCGAACGAGUGGCGAACGGGUGAGUAACACGUGGUAACCUGCCUUACACACGGGGAUAGCCUCUGGAAACGGAGAAUAAUACCCUAUAGUGUAAGAUUGACUUGCGUGUGAUUAGCUAGUUGGUGGGAUAAAAGCUCACCAAGGCGACGAUCAGUAGCCGGCCUGAGAGGGUGUCCGGCCACAUUGGGACUGAGACACGGCCCAGACUCCUACGGGAGGCAGCAGUGGGGAAUAUUGCACAAUGGGCGCAAGCCUGAUGCAGCCAUGCCGCGUGUAUGAAGAAGGCCUUCGGGUUGUAAAGUACUUUCAGCGAGGAGGCGUUACUCGCAGAAGAAGCACCGGCUAACUCCGUGCCAGCAGCCGCGGUAAUAC
rnacentral:rRNA from 1 species